rnacentral:tRNA from 1 species
GCUGAUGUGGCGCAGCCGGUAGCGCAACUGAUUCGUAAUCAGUAGGUCGUCGGUUCGAAUCCGAUCAUCAGCUCCA